CCUACGGGUGGCAGCAGUGGGGAAUAUUGGGCAAUGGGCGCAAGCCUGACCCAGCAACGCCGCGUGAAGGAAGAAGGCCCUCGGGUUGUAAACUUCUUUUAACAGGGACGAAGAACGUGACGGUACCUGUUGACUAAGCCACGGCUAACUACGUGCCAGCAGCCGCGGUAAUACGUAGGUGGCAAGCGUUAUCCGGAUUUACUGGGUGUAAAGGGCGUGUAGGCGGGAGAGCAAGUCAGACGUGAAAUUCCAGGGCUCAACCCUGGAACUGCGUUUGAAACUGUUCUUCUUGAGUGAUGGGGAGGGAGGCGGAAUUCCGUGUGUAGCGGUGAAAUGCGGAGAUAUACGGAGGAACACCAGUGGCGAAGGCGGCCUGCUGGACAUUAACUGACGCUGAGGCGCGAAAGCGUGGGGAGCAAACAGGAUUAGAUACCCUUGUAGUC
rnacentral:rRNA from 1 species